rnacentral:rRNA from 1 species
AAUAUUGCGCAAUGGAGGGAACUCUGACGCAGCGACGCCGCGUGAGCGAUGAAGGUUUUCGGAUCGUAAAGCUCUGUCCUUGGGGAAGAAGGCGGCCAUUUUUGGCCACUUGACGGUACCCAAGGAGGAAGCCCCGGCUAACUACGUGCCAGCAGCCGCGGUAAUACGUAGGGGGCAAGCGUUGUCCGGAAUUAUUGGGCGUAAAGGGCACGCAGGCGGUUAUUUAAGUCUGAUGUGAAAUCUUGUGGCUUAACCACAAGCGGUCAUUGGAAACUGGAUAACUUGAGUACAGAAGAGGAGAGUGGAAUUCCACGUGUAGCGGUGAGAUGCGUAGAGAUGUGGAGGAACACCAGUGGCGAAGGCGGCUCUCUGGUCUGUAACUGACGCUGAGGUGCGAAAGCGUGGGUAGCGAACA